rnacentral:rRNA from 1 species
GAUGAACGCUGGCGGCGUGCCUAAUACAUGCAAGUCGAGCGAACAGACGAGGAGCUUGCUCCUCUGACGCUAGCGGCGGACGGGUGAGUAACACGUGGAUAACCUACCUAUAAGACUGGGAUAACUUCGGGAAACCGGAGCUAAUACCGGAUAACAUGUUGAACCGCAUGGUUCAACAGUGAAAGACGGUCUUGCUGUCACUUAUAGAUGGAUCCGCGCCGCAUUAGCUAGUUGGUAAGGUAACGGCUUACCAAGGCAACGAUGCGUAGCCGGCCUGAGAGGGUGAUCGGCCACACUGGAACUGAGACACGGUCCAGACUCCUACGGGAGGCAGCAGUAGGGAAUCUUCCGCAAUGGGCGAAAGCCUGACGGAGCAACGCCGCGUGAGUGAAGAAGGUCCUCGGAUCGUAAAACUCUGUUAUUAGGGAAGAACAAAUGUGUAAGUAACUAUGCACGUCUUGACGGUACCUAAUCAGAAAGCCACGGCUAACUACGUG